UAGCUCAGUCGGUAGAGCGCAUGACUGUUAAUCAUGAUGUCGGCGGUUCGAGUCCACCAGGGGGA
rnacentral:tRNA from 1 species